rnacentral:rRNA from 1 species
GAUCAUGGCUCAGGACGAACGGCUGGCGGCGCGCCUAACACAUGCAAGUCGAACGGAGCUUAGAGAGCUUGCUUUUGAACUUAGUGGCGGACGGGUGAGUAACGCGUGAGCAACCUGCCUUUCAGAGGGGGAUAACAUUUGGAAACAAAUGCUAAUACCGCAUAAGAUUACAGUACCGCAUGAUACAGUGAUCAAAGGAGCAAUCCGCUGAAAGAUGGGCUCGCGUCCGAUUAGAUAGUUGGUGAGGUAACGGCUCACCAAGUCGACGAUCGGUAGCCGGACUGAGAGGUUGAACGGCCACAUUGGGACUGAGACACGGCCCAGACUCCUACGGGAGGCAGCAGUGGGGAAUAUUGCACAAUGGGCGAAAGCCUGAUGCAGCAACGCCGCGUGAGGGAAGACGGUUUUCGGAUUGUAAACCUCUGUUUUCGGUGACGAACAAAUGACGGUAACCGAGUAGGAAGCCACGGCUAACUACGUG